CUAAUUCCCUCAUUCUAAAUCCCGAUCCCUCUUCUCUUCUCCUCUUCGUUCAAUCCUCUCCUCUUCUUCUUCCCGAUCUUUUCUCCUCGCCACCGAAGCUUCUCCUCUUCCGGUUCACCGUCGACGUCUUCCCUUCCCCUUCAUAAGCGGCGUAGAUCCGGUCAUCGCCCCUCUCUGGAUCCACCCUCGUCGUGCCUCCCAAUUGUCGACGCUGGCCACCGCAUUCCCAGCCCUAGCUGCGGACACCAAGAACUCACCGAGAGCCGAGCAUUCGAGCCCAUCUUUCCGGCAGAACUUUGUAGUCGAUCUAUGCCAACGCCCGACGCCAUUGCCUCCUCCACAUGAGUCUAGAUCAGCGAUGCCGUAGUCGUCGCUGUCGUGAGAUUUAGCCGUCGGACUCCUCUCGAUCUUGCCCGAGGUCACCAGCCUUUUGGCUGUGUUCUAGCUCCUGAUCCACCGACGCCGGGCUAAGCGCCACCUGAUGCAGUGAUCUGUUCAAUUGCCCCGACGUUUUUUCUUCUCCGAGUACCCUCUGGUGAAGGCAAUUGGGCUAUUCCCGUGCACUGCCAUGCCAAGAGAAAGAAGUCGAAGGUCUCCUUUGUGCAUCACCCCUCUCCAGCCAUCAUAACCCACUGUUAGAGAAGGAGAGCAAGCGACAUUGGGCUUCAACCAGCAUUAUGCACCGGCGAUCCAUGGCUCUGGUCAUCGUGUUUCGACAGUGAACCUUCGAUUGUGAGCUGUUAACUUUGGAAUUGGGAUGUUGAUUCAAGACGAGUAUCCCGACGUGGAGGUAGUUUGAGACGAUCGUUUUGAUGUGGAGUUAUGUUGGCACGAUCUACGAUAAAGACAAGUAGUAGGUAGAUUUUUUGGCGUCGCUUGGAGUAUCAUGUCUGCCAGUUCUCACGUCACAUCCGAAGACCUGUUUAUGGUUUUUAUUUGUACUUUAUUUGGUCUAUGCUUUUGGUUUACUUAGCAAUGUAAAUUUAGGUUUUGGUUCCGGAGUAUUUUGAUGUGGUGUUUUGUAUUAUUUGUGGUGUUGUGUAAGUCUAGUGGCUAGCAGUCUUAUUUUUUGUUUGUAAUGGUUUUUCUAUA